GCCCCUGUAGCCAAGUGGUUAAGGCAAUUGGUUGCAACCCAAUGAACGUAGGUCCGACUCCUAUCAGGGGCU
rnacentral:tRNA from 1 species